GAUGAACGCUGGCGGCGUGCCUAAUACAUGCAAGUCGAGCGCAGCGGGGACGGGUGAGUAACUCGUGGAUAACCUCCUAUAAGACUGGGAUAACGUGGGGAAAACGGAGCUCAACCGGAUUCUCAUCGAUGGAUCCGCGUGGCAUUUGCUAGUGGGUAAGGUAACGGCUUACCAAGGCAACGAUGCAUAGCCGACCUGAGAGGGUGAUCGGCCACACUGGAACUGAGACACGGUCCAGACUCCUACGGGAGGCAGCAGUAGGGAAUCUUCCGCAAUGGGCGAAAGCCUGACGGAGCAACGCCGCGUGAGUGAUGAAGGUCUUCGGAUCGUAAAACUCUGUUAUUAGGGAAGCGGUACCUAAUCAGAAAGCCACGGCUAACUACGUGCCAGCAGCCGCGGUAAUAC
rnacentral:rRNA from 1 species